UACGUAGGGUGCGAGCGUUGUCCGGAAUUACUGGGCGUAAAGAGUUCGUAGGCGGUGCGGCAAGUUCGGUGUGAAAUCUCCCGGCUCAACUGGGAGGGUGCGCUAAAUACUGCCGUGCUCGAGUAUAGGAGAGGUAAGCGGAAUUCCUGGUGUAGCGGUGAAAUGCGUAGAUAUCAGGAGGAACACCUGUGGUGUAGACGGCUUACUGGACUAUAACUGACGCUGAGGAACGAAAGCGUGGGUAGCAAACAGG
rnacentral:rRNA from 1 species